AACGCCACAUUCGAUCGGAGAUACGAGAAACUCGAUGAGUAGUCAGUUUCAUUAAAUUUCUCUGUCGUGCUUUUGCAUUCAAUAAUUCUUUAGUGUUCGUUGAUCGUUCCAGAUGUACAAUAGAACACGAAUAGCUAAUUUUAUUUUUACCCCCUUUGCGGGACUAAGAAAUAUGAGGACAACACGCAAAACAAUCUGUUUGACGUUAUGUACGAUGAUAUUUGUUUCAAUAACGCUGAUUUAUUUCGUUCCAACAUUCAAUAUCAACUGGCCUAAAGCUCCUGGAUGGAUAGAACGUUCAAUUAAUGUCAAUAAUUCAAACAAUACUGAAAUAGGCCAAGAAAAUCGUAUUUUUGAAAUUUCUUAUCGCCAAGGACUGACCAAGGCCGGAGCCCAAAGUCAGUUACUAGAUGCUCCGUCGAUGGAAGAAUUUGACUACAAAGAGACCAACCACUCUACGCUGGGUCAGUCGGAGACGCCAUUUUUCGAUGCAGGGAACGCUGAACAGAUUCUACAGCCACCGGCAAUUGGAGUUGAACCAGCGAUGCAGACUAUCACAGCGAUAAUGAUCGUAUGUGAAGCCGAUGAGAAGAAGCCUGAUAGAGGAUCAAUCUCAUCGUUCGAUCAACACAUUGAUCGCGCCA